AGUUUGCGUUGGAGAUGAGGGGAAGAGCAGCUUGCUGCAGUUUGUUAGGCCGCUCAGCAGCUGUGGAAACAUUAGACGAUACUUCAAUCAGUUUUCCUUUUUUUUAAAGGGUCACAUUCCAAAGAAAGGAAAAGGGCAUUUACAAGUACAAUAGAACUUCUGAAAAAGCUACAUUAACAAAUACAGACAGCCACUGUGCAAAGGAAAACAAACUGUGCAAAAAUAAAUAAACAAAUAAAUAAAUACAGAGUAUAUGACUCAAGAGUCCAUGAAAGUGAACGUGUAGGUUGUGCUAUCAGUUCAGAGUUGAGGUGCUGUGACUUACCUCACGCCGCAAUGCGCAGCGGUGACAACCCAGUUUUCAUUGAUCAAGGAACCGCCACAGAAAUGCCAACCAGAGUCACUCUGUUACACAAGGAAAAAGGAUGCUCAUAGAAACAUCUUAAGUUUUUCUCUAACAUACAGAAGUAGUUUUUUGAAAAUUGACAGUGACUCCAUAUUGCAAAUUGGGUAAAAGGAAACAAGACUCAUAAUAUAACAAGGAAGUUAACAAACGUCAUUGGAUCAUGAAUUCAAAGAAAUUCGUUGAAGAACAAAGUUCUAAAGAUGCAAUAAAUAACUACUGUAAAACUAAACUUUUAUGUUAAAUGAAACAUAUGAUUAAAAACAGGGCUAAUAUUGUAAUACCAAGAACAAUUAAGCGGGAUUUAGAAAAUGAUGUGGAAAUCUGAAAAGCUGGAUAAGAAUUGCUUAAAGGGAGUUUGAAAAAUGAAUAAAAGAUAAUGUAAGGAAGUUUAUGGGGAUAUAAAAUAUUUUCCUGAAGAAUAUUUAAAGUAAAGAGAGCCUGGGAGCAAUCCGAGACAAGAGAUGGAGAUGAAUUGUGCAAGAUGAAAUGGCAGCAAGAUGUUAUAUUAUGCAAGUACUAAUGGGAAUGAAUAUACGGAUGCUACGUAGAGGGAAAUGUAACUGCAGGAAGGGAGAAGUUCUAAAAAGAAGGAAACAAGAAGCUCCAUGCAGUCAAAAUAAUUUGUAAAAGAGGAUAAUGUAGUUUUCUUUAUCUUAGUGUUCAAAUUGCGACUUAGCACUGUAGAAUUAUUGAUCAAAAGAUAGGGAAAGAUAGGCCAAGUAAUCGUAAACCAACUGGUAUGAAGUCAUUUAUGGAUCAACUCUGAGAAUCUAUAAUUUCCCACAAUUAGUAAGAAUUCAGACACGUUAAUUAAGAAUAACCAGCUUGGAUUUGUUAAAGAUAAAUAGUGCUUUCGCAAAGGAUUGUUGAAAGACUGUUACAUCAAGGUUUUAAGAAAGUAAUUCAUGUGAAGCUUGUUAAAUAAAAACAGACAAACAUAUAUUAGGACAGAUAAAAAGUUGAUUGACAGAAACAAGAGAGACAGAGAGAGAGGGUGAGAAAGAGAGAGAGAGAGUGAGAGAGGGUGAGAAAGAGAUAGAGAGAGGGUGAGAAAAGAGAGAGAGAAAGAGGGUGAGAAAGAGAGAGAGAGGGUGAGAAAAGAGAGAUAGAGAAAGAGAGAGGGUAAGAAAGAGAAAGGGUGUGUAUGAGAGAGAGAGCAAAUAGGUAAGUAGGUAGGUGGGUAGGUAGACUGGGACAGAGUGGGAAACUGCAUCCCAAACAAUGGUGCUGAGUUCACUUCCUGACAAAUUAAUGACAUUUCAAGUUAAAGCCUCUGUAAUAUUAAAAAAUAGGUAAAUGGAUAAUUUUUUUGAGAGUCGUGGUCACUAAAAGCAAAACAGGAUUACUUAAAGAAGUGCCACUGAAAUGCAAACAUAUUUACUUUUUAAUCUGUCAAACAGGUAUGAGCAGAGACAGAUUUUCACAUAACUUCAUCUUUUGAGCAAAGAGCUGCAAAUAUUGCCCAUUACUGUGUCUAUUAACCAAACAGGUUGCAAUAUAAAUACAGACGUA